GAUGAACGCUGGCGGCAUGCCUAAUACAUGCAAGUCGAACGAGAGGAAGGAAAGCUUGCUUUUCUGAAUCUAGUGGCGAACGGGUGAGUAACACGUAGGUAACCUGCCCAUGUGCCCGGGAUAACUUCUGGAAACGGAUGCUAAAACCGGAUAGGUAGCAGACAAGCAUUUGAAUGCUAUUAAAGUGGCUAAGGCCAUGAACAUGGAUGGACCUGCGGUGCAUUAGCGAGUUGGUGAGGUAACGGCCCACCAAGGCGACGAUGCAUAGCCGGCCUGAGAGGGCGGACGUCCACAUUGGGACUGAGACACGGCCCAAACUCCUACGGGAGGCAGCAGUAGGGAGUUUUCGUCAAUGGGGGGAACCCUGAACGAGCAAUGCCGCGUGAGUGAGGAAGGUCUUCGGAUCGUAAAGCUCUGUUGUAAGAGAAAAACGACAUUCAUAGGGAAUGAUGAGUGAGUGAUGGUAUCUUACCAGAAAGUCACGACUAACUACGUGCCAGCCGCCGCUGUAAGAC
rnacentral:rRNA from 1 species